rnacentral:rRNA from 1 species
AUUGAACGCUGGCGGCAGGCCUAACACAUGCAAGUCGAACGGAGUGGCGGACGGGUGAGUAAUGUCUGGGAAACUGCCUGAUGGAGGGGGAUAACUAAUGGAAACGGUAGCUAAUACCGCAUACUAUCAGAUGAGCCGAGGUCGGAUUAGCUCGUGGGUGGGGUAAAGGCCUACCAAGGCGACGAUCCGUAACUGGGCUGAGAGGAUGAUCAGUCACACUGGAACUGAGACACGGUCCAGACUCCUACGGGAGGCAGCAGGGGGGAAUAUUGGACAAUGGGCGAAAGCCUGAUCCAGCCAUGCCGCGUGUGUGAAGAAGGUCUUCGGAUUGUAAAGCACUUUAAGUUGGGAGGCGUUACCAACAGAAUAAGCACCGGCUAACUUCGUGCCAGCCGCCGCGGUAAUAC